AUCUACAACAGGAAGCAAGACUGCGAAGUUAAGCAAAUCCCUAAAAGAUACCUCAGUUCGGAUUGCACUCUGCAACUCGAGUGCAUGAAGCUGGAAUUACUAGUAAUCGUGGAUCAGCGUGCCACGGUGAAUGCGUUCCCGGGUCUUGUACACACCGCCCGUCACACCAUGGGAGUUGGUUCUACCUUAAGGCAAGGUUUCAAACCCUUGACCACGGUAUAGUCAGCGACUGGGGUGAAGUCGUAACAAGGUAGCCGUA
rnacentral:rRNA from 1 species